GUUUGAUUUAGACAAUUAAAGGAUCUGACUGCUUUCUGGCUUGACAUGUCAGUGUUGCGGCUGCAAGAGAUCAUGCUAGAGGUUCCUUAAUUUCCUAACCAUGUCUCCUGCUGAGAACUUAAAACCCAGAGGUCCUAUUUUUUCCGCUCUCCUUGAAACUCUCCAGUGGCACGAGAAACAGCUAGAGGUCUGUAUUCUUCCUUAUCGCCACCAUCGUCCAUCACAGCAAUCACCUGAUCUGCCCAGACGCCCCCUUAGUAGGCACUUUAUUUCAAGAGGCUAAAUAAGUCACUGCGCAUGCGCCGGUGGUUUCCAGUUUGGGGGGAGCUUUCGGGAACUCUCCUUCUUCACUCCCAGACAGGCCUGGCUACUUCUAGUAGUAGACUAGAAGGACUCAAUGUAAACGCAGGAUUUAGUCUAAUUUUUUUUUUUUUUUAAGAGGAAGAGAUGAAAGACAGACUCACAGGCUUCCAUUAAGGAAAACUGGAGGGAUGGAUGCCAGUCCAGCGCCGGAAAUGACGUCUCCGAGGAGACCAGCUCCGCAGGGCGCCCUGCGCUGACGUCACCGGAAGUGAGCGCGGCGCAGGAUCCGGGCUUCCGUACUGUACUAAGGGUCAAUGCCACUGCUGCCUCUGAUCGGACUCCCCAUCAAAACGAAUCCAAUAGGAAAUAGGACAAUUAACAAGGCAGAAAAUCUCCAAAUUUCCAUGACCUCGUUAGCCAGGAAAACAUCAAAAGGAACGAGAAAAUGUCCUCUGCCUCGUUUGCACUCCGCAAACCCCAUUCCAGAGCCUUUAAUCCGAGGCGCCUUCUUUGCAUCCAGAACCAGCGCUGCGACGGGACAGAAUGGAGGGGACAGCAUCUCUGCACCAUCAUUCCUGUGGGCUGACUGAACUUUUUGCUGCCACUCAUUGAAGAUUAAAGGAUUGUUACUGUGAACUCAAUUCCUCUGUCUCAAUGUGUCCUCCAUUUUCUAUGUUAAUGUCAAUAACCCAUAUCUUCCCAUCAUUUAAUGGCCACCAUCAGCCAGCAGAGAAUUUUUCUUUGUGAGAGGGCUUAUGUGUUCAGUCAGCAUUUACUACUGACCAGAUACCAAGUAAAAUAAAAUGGAGAGACCUGUGACCUUCCCGUGGUAAAAGUCAUCCUGACAUAUUCCUCAUGUGUGCAGCAAACAAGAUGGCAAGGUACACAGAGUCACCCACCGAAUUAGUAGAGUCAAAAGACACAAAGAUCUUAGUUGAGAAAAGUAUUGAUCAGCAAGGCAAAUGAAGGCCGUUGAUAACCUCCAUGAUUAAAGACUGAGGUACCACAAGG
rnacentral:lncRNA from 1 species